ensembl:lncRNA
CUGCACAGACAGACACCUGCUCUGUGCUCAGUGGGCCCCCACAGGGAGCUUCUGGAGCUCUAAGCAGGCAUGACAGCCUCCAGACACCAGGGGGCAGCCUAACACACCCUCCAGCGGUCGGAGGGACCCACCAAAGGUGACCUGGCAACAGACACACUUCCAAGACAAAUCUAAGUAGCCUGGGCAUGCAGAAGAGGAAAUCCCAGGGAGGCAAGAUGGCCCACACUGCCAGCUCUUGAGUCUUUGCCACUUGCCCCCAGGCAACUGCUGAGCAGCUUCCUGCAAGACAAGCUUCAGCCAGAAGAGAGUGUUGGUGAGGGACCCACAGGCUACAGACUGGCAGGGACAUGGGAGACAAUAAAAGCAGAAGGACCCCACUGCAUGCUCUCCGUGCCUUCAUCCCAUUAAGGAAGCAGAAAGGAGACCCCAGGAAAGUCUGAAUGUUUUCCAAAACUCCUUGGAGUUUGAGAUCUUUGAAACGCAUUCACGGGAUUACUCUCAGAAAGCCCCCUGGCUCCAGAGAAGAGAGCAGCCUCUGUUGUGAGCCCUUCAGAGCUGCAGUGCCUGGGUUCAAAUCCUGCCUCUGCUGUUUACCAGCUCUGCAACAGUGGGCAAGGUACUUAGCCUCUGUGCCUUAGUCUCCCGCUCUGUAAAAAGAGUAACAGUGACUCUCUUGGGUCAUUGCCUGCAACAAUGGCUGGCUACAACAAGGGAAAGCAUUUGAAGAAAGCCUGAAGUUUUCACAGACACGCAUAGCACUGCUCUGUGCACAAGCCAGAAGCCCCAAAGGUCUGUGCUUCUUCCUGGCAGGAUGCAGUUCACAGAGACCACCAAGCUGUGGAGGCAACAGGCCCUGAGUCCGGAACAGGAGUGGGUUUAGUGUCUUCUUAAGAGAGGGAAGCUCCUCUCACAGGGAGCUUCUGGAGCUCUGAGCACCUGAGCUCAGUGCAGCCAGCUUACCCAGUGCAGCCCGCCUGUGCCCACUUUGGGUUUUGUGCAGGACAAGCAGAACACAUCACUCACGUUGAAGCUGGGCUUGUUAAACUCAUCAGCCAGCGGCUGAAAGACAGGCUGGCAGGCCUCUGGAGGACAGGCCCACGUGGGCAAACCUGGGGAGAGCCAGCCUUGCUGAGGCCAGACCUGCACAGAGGGUGUGAGGAACCUACCAGCCUCAGAGCAGGGUUGGGCUUCCCUGGGACGGAGAGGAAAGAGUUAAGUCGACUCUGGGCUCCAGAGGGCGGCUCUACA